GUCUUGCUCUGUUGCUCAGGCUGGAGUGCAGUGGCGCAACCUUGGCUGACUGCAACCUCUGCCUUCUGAGUUCAAGCAAUUCUCUUGCCUCAACCUCCUGAGUAGCAGGGGCUACUGGCACACACCACCACACCCGGCUAAUUUUUGUAUUAUUGUAUUUCUUCUGAGAGAUAGGAUUUAAAAAAAAAACCUAUCCAUCAUGACACCUAAAAGUUAAUACAAAUUUCUUAAUAUCAUAAAAUAUCCAGUGCUCAAAUUUCCUCUAUUGUUAUUUAUUUAUUCUUUUCUUAAGCCCUUGGUUUGUUCAAAUCAGGAUGCAAACAAAGUCCAUACAUUGCAUUUGAUUGAUGUUUCUUAAGUCUUUCAGUCUGUAGCAACCCUACUCCUGCCCUUUUUUGUUUUUCUCCGCAAAUUAUCUGUUGAGGAAGUUGGGUCUUCUGUGCAGGAGGGUCUUCUGUAAUUCUGGAUUUUACUGAGUGCACCCCAUAAUGCAAUGUGUUCCUUAGUCCCCUCAAGUUCCUGUAAAAUGGUGGUUAGGUUUAUACUUCAUCAGAACCACCUUUGAUUUUUUGCUGACAAUCUUUCAUAGACGGUGCUAUGAAAUCCUCUUAUAUCAUAUCAGGCAGCACAUAAUAUCUGCUUGUCUUUCUGUGUGUAAUAUCAAGAUGGAUGGAUGGAUUCAGAUGUUGUCAGCCUAGUCCAUCCAUUAUAAACUCCCCAUCAGCUCUUCAACUCAUGGUUUUAGCAGACAUUGAUGAUUAUUGUUGCACCCAUUAUUUUUUUAAUCACAAAAGUCAUACAUGUAGGCUGAGAAUGGUGGCUCACGCCUGUAAUCCCAGCACUUUGAGAGGCUGAGAUGGGUGGAUCACUUGAGGCCAGGAGUUCGAGACCAGCCUGGUCAACAUGGUGAAACUCCAUCUCUACUAAAACUACAAAAAUUAGCUGGGUGUGGUGGCACACGCCUGUAAUCCCAGCUACUCGAGAGGCUGAGGCAUAAGAAUCUCUUGAACCUGCGAGGCAGAGGCUGCAGUGAGCCAAGACUGUGCCAUUGCACUCCAGCCUGGGUGACACAGCAAGCGUCUGUCUCAAAAAAAAAAAAAAAAGUCAUACAUGUAAAAUUGUAAAAAAAAAAAACCCAAAUAUCCAUCCAAAGGAGACUGAAAAGAUAAAAGCAGUAAUUAUAUCACACUGUAUUUAUACAUCAGGCAAUAUAGCAGUCAGAAUUUAAAAUCUAAAUAUAUCAUUUGGGGAGGCAUACAUAUGUGUUAAAAGUAAAAAAUAUGUAUAGGAAUGAUAAACUCCAAAUGUAAGGUAUUGUUUACUUCUUUUUGUAUGGGAGAAUGAGGAAUAGGACUGGGUUUCAAUUAUAUAUAUGAUUCAAUCAUAUAUAUAUAUAUAUAUAUAUAUAUAUAUAUAUAUAUAUAUAUACACACACACACACACACACACAUUUUGUUUAUUAACAGAGGUCUGUCUGAACUAUUUAUUGCAAAAUGUUAAGAUUUGUCAAAGCCAGAAGGUGUUAACUUUAUCUCUGUAGUUUCUUUGUAAGUUUAAAAUAUAAUUUUUUAAAAAAGGACUUGACAUAUAAACAUGGAAAAUAUUGCCAACUCAAAAGGAUGCAUAAUAAAAAAUAUAUUCUGUUCAUUUCAGACCCAUGGUUCUCCUCCUCGGAGACACUGAUUAUUACCCAUUUCAUAUGCAUCUUUCAGGAAUUGUCUAUGUAAAUGAAAGACUUAAUAUCCAAAAGAGCUGCUCCUUUCAGAAAAACCACUUUAAAACAUUUUUCAUUUUUCGGGACUUGCUCUAUUGCCUAGGUGCAGUGAUACAAUCAUAGCUCACUGCAGCCUCAAACUCCUGGGCUCGAGCAAUCCUCCCACCUCACCCUCCUGCAUAUUUGGGACUACAGGUACAUACCAUGCCCAGCUAAUUCAGAAAAACCAUGAGCCAUCUUUACACACAUGGACAUCUGACUGCACCCACCCAUGUGGGAGGCAGCCUAUAGACUGAGGCCUUCCAUCUGGAGAGUCCACUUUGUGAGCUUUUAUUUUGGAGACUCCCUGGAAACCAGUCUUUGUUUUCCCUGUCAACGGACCUGAAGCUAUCUGGUUAGUCUUUUCUUUUUUUUCUUUUUUCUUUUCUUUUCUUUUCUUGUUUGAGAUGGAGUCUUGCUGUCACUCAGGCUGGAGUGCAGUGGUGCGAUCUCGGCUCACUGCAACCUCUACCUCCUGGGUUCAAGUCUCCCAAAUAGCUGGGAUUACGGGUGCCUGCCACCAUGCUUGGCUAAUUUUUUUUUUUUUUUUUAGUAGAGACGGGGUUUCACCAUGUUAGCCAGACUGGUCUUGAACUCCUGACCUCAGGUGAUCUGCCCGCCUCGGCCUCCCAAAGUACUAGAAUUACAGGCAUGAGCCACCAUGUCCGGCCUGGUUAGUCUUUUCUGAUUGGUGAUCUCAUAGGCCUUGUCUGUUAAACUAGCGUCAGCUUUGGGGAGUGGCUGCUUAUCUCUUCAAGUUUCCUCUCCAGGAGGAAGGGUUACUAGGAUCAAUUUUCAUAUGCCAAACAAUCUGUAUUUAAGUCAGACCACCCCAAGUAUAUCCUCCAAGUUUGGUGAAAAUCAGCCCAGCUAUUUUCUUAUGAUGGAGUAGACAAGUCACAAACUUCAUUUUAUUAUGUGGACAAAUCCCCCCCUGCUCUGACCUUUGGGGGUGGGGGAAAGAGAGAGUAAAGAACUUAAAAAAAUGAGAGCACACUCAGUUCACUGUUCUGUACUUGCCUUUUCCCCCACUUUUUACUGCACCUUGAGAUAGUUUCAUGUUUCGUAUCAGUUCAUAUGGUUUUGCCCUCGUAUUUAAAGUACAAAUACUGGCCGGGUGUGGUGGCUCAUGCCUGUAAUCCCAGCACUUUGGGAG
rnacentral:lncRNA from 1 species